rnacentral:rRNA from 1 species
GACGAACGCUGGCGGCGUGCUUAACACAUGCAAGUCGAACGGUGAAGCGCUUGCCUUUUUGGUGGGUGUGGAUGAGUGGCGAACGGGUGAGUAACACGUGAGUAACCUGCCCUCUUCUUCUGGAUAACCUCAUGAAAGUGGGGCUAAUACGGGGUAUUCCGGGUCUGUCGCAUGGCGGGUUUGGGAAAGAUUGCGCCUUUGGGUGUUUUCGGUGGGGGAUGGGCUCGCGGCCUAUCAGCUUGUUGGUGGGGUGAUGGCCUACCAAGGCGGUGACGGGUAGCCGGCCUGAGAGGGUGGACGGCCACACUGGGACUGAGACACGGCCCAGACUCCUGCGGGAGGCAGCAGUGGGGAAUAUUGCACAAUGGGCGCAAGCCGGAUGCAGCGACGCCGCGUGAGGGAUGGAGGCCUUCGGGUUGUGAACCUCUUUCGCCAGGGAAGCAGGCCUGCUCCUGUGUGGGUGGGUUGACGGUAGCUGGAUAAGAAGCGCCGGCUAACUACGUG